AACGAACGCUGGCGGCAUGCCUAACACAUGCAAGUCGAACGAGACCUUCGGGUCUAGUGGCGCACGGGUGCGUAACGCGUGGGAACCUGCCCUUAGGUUCGGAAUAACUACCCGAAAGGGGUGCUAAUACCGGAUAAUGUCUUCGGACCAAAGAUUUAUCGCCUUUGGAUGGGCCCGCGUUGGAUUAGCUAGUUGGUAGGGUAAAAGCAUACCAAGGCGACGAUCAAUAGCUGGUCUGAGAGGAUGAUCAGCCACACUGGGACUGAGACACGGCCCAGACUCCUACGGGAGGCAGCAGUGGGGAAUAGUGGAAAAUGGGCGAAAGCCUGAUCCAGCAAUGCCGCGUGAGUGAUGAAGGCCUUAGGGUUGUAAAGCUCUUGUACCCGGGAUGAUAAUGACAGUACCGGGAGAAUAAGCUACGGCUAACUACGUG
rnacentral:rRNA from 1 species